rnacentral:rRNA from 1 species
UACAGAGGGGGCAAGCGUUGUUCGGAUUCAUUGGGCGUAAAGGGCGCGUAGGCGGCGGGGUAAGUCUGGUGUGAAAUCUCGGAGCUCAACUCCGAAAUUGCACUGGAUACUGCUCUGCUAGAGGGCUGGAGAGGAGAUCGGAAUUCACGGUGUAGCAGUGAAAUGCGUAGAUAUCGUGAGGAAGACCAGUGGCGAAGGCGGAUCUCUGGACAGCUCCUGACGCUGAGGCGCGAAGGCUAGGGGAGCAAACGGG